rnacentral:misc_RNA from 1 species
GGAAAGUUUGUGUAACUGGAGGCACUGGAUUCAUAGCUUCAUGGCUGAUCAAGACGCUUCUUGAAAAUGGCUACUCUGUCACUACCACUGUUAGAGCCGACCCAGAGAAGAGGAAAGACUACAGCUUCUUGACAAACCUACCUGGAGCAUCAGAAAAACUGCAAAUAUACAAUGCUGAUCUCCAUGACCCGAACAGUUAUGCCCCUGCCAUUGCAGGUUGCAUUGGAGUCUUUCAUCUUGCUACCCCAAUUGAUGUAGAUGACAAAGAACCUGUGGAAUCGUUGACGAGAAGAACGAUUGAAGGAACAUUGGGCAUCCUUAAACUUUGUCUAGAUUCAAAAACAGUAAGGCGAGUUGUAUACACUUCCAGUGCAGCCACCAUGCAGUUUAAUCACCACAAAGUAGACUUUUUGGAUGAGAGCUGUUGGAGUGACAUUGAUUACAUUAACAGUAUCGCACCGUUCGGAAGAUCAUACCCGACUUCCAAGACAUUAACCGAGAAAGCAGUUCUUGAAUUCUCUCAGCAGUAUGGAUUGGAAGUUGUAACUGUCCUUCCAACUUAUGUCAUUGGUCCCUUCAUUUGUCCUAAACUUCCAGGCUCCGUUCACGUGACAAUGUCUCUGAUAUUAGGUAAUGAAGCAGAGUAUGGAUUGAUCCUAAAAUCAAACAUGGUGCAUGUGGAUGAUGUGGCAAGAGCACACAUUUUCCUAUUUGAACAUCCAAAUGCGAAUGGGCGAUAUGCUUGCUCUUCCCACAUAAUCACUUUGGAAGAAUUGGCUAA